GCGCGGAUGGCACAGUGGUUACUGCGGUCGGCUGCAGCCCGACUUCUCCCAGGUUCGAUUCCUGGUCCGCGCU
rnacentral:tRNA from 1 species